rnacentral:lncRNA from 1 species
GAGUGGGCUUUAGCUAUGUGGCAGAACAAAGGGUCUUCUAGGGUGUAGUGUUUUGUGUGUUUUAGUGGAACUGUAAGGAACCAUAGUGUGGCAAUGAUGUGAUGCUGGCUGGAACUUGCUGAGAUCUCAACUAUAGUUAAUUUAAUUUGCUUUCUCCCUGCAUCUGCUGUUGUUUAAAUUCUAUUUAUUUCUGCACAUUUGCUAUUGCUAUUUUGUUUUCAUACCCUUCUAGUUACUUUGAUGUUUUCCCUACUGCCUAUUAAUUUGCUAUUGCUCUCGGGACACAAGGGUUGCAAUGACCUGACCUAUGAUAUGUCUCGUACUUAAUGGUUUGUGGUGCAAUCUAUGCUAUUGUUUAUCUAGGCCAAUGGCUGAGGAGGAUGUGUUCUUUGGUUCUGCUGCUGCUGGGUUUGCUAGUGCUGGUCAGGGUGUUGUUCCUGAUGCCUCGGGCCUAGGUCUGCCUGGUGGUGGUGGUGGUGCUAGGGCUGGUGUGGGUGGUGCUGCUAGUGCUGUUGCUCAGGCUCUGGGGGGCGGUGGUGGUGGUACUCCGGGACUGGGAUUGGUGCUGCUGCUGCUGGUGGUGGUCAAGGACAGGGUGGUGGAGCU